rnacentral:rRNA from 1 species
AUACGGAGGGUGCAAGCGUUAUCCGGAAUCAUUGGGUUUAAAGGGUCCGCAGGCGGAUUAAUGAGUCAGUGGUGAAAUCCUCUCGCUCAACGAGAGAACUGCCAUUGAAACUGUUAGUCUUGAAUUCGGUCGAAGUAGGCGGAAUGUGUCAUGUAGCGGUGAAAUGCAUAGAUAUGACACAGAACACCGAUAGCGAAGGCAGCUUACUAGACCUGGAUUGACGCUCAUGGACGAAAGCGUGGGGAGCGAACAGGAUUAGAAACCCCAGUAGUCC